GGAGAAGUACUCAAGUGGCUUAAGAGGCGGCACUGGAAAUGCCGUAGGGGGCGUAAGUCUCGCGAGGGUUCAAAUCCCUCCUUCUCCGCCA
rnacentral:tRNA from 1 species